UGGGGAAUAUUGCACAAUGGGCGCAAGCCUGAUGCAGCGACGCCGCGUGAGGGAUGACGGCCUUCGGGUUGUAAACCUCUUUCAAUAGGGACGAAGCGCAAGUGACGGUACCUAUAGAAGAAGGACCGGCCAACUACGUGCCAGCAGCCGCGGUAAUACGUAGGGUCCGAGCGUUGUCCGGAAUUACUGGGCGUAAAGAGCUCGUAGGUGGUUUGUCGCGUUGUUCGUGAAAACUCACAGCUUAACUGUGGGCGUGCGGGCGAUACGGGCAGACUAGAGGACUG
rnacentral:rRNA from 1 species